AUUCGUGCCAGCAGUUGCGGUUAUACAAAUAAUAUAAUUUAAUUUAAUCAGUAGUAAUUAAUUAAUAAUAAUAAAAAUUUUAAAUUAAAAUUUAUAAGGUGAAAUUUUAAAUUUUAAUAAAAUUUGGUUUUUUUGAUAAAGUUAGAAAAUUUAGCUAAUAAACUAGGAUUAGAUACCCUAUUAUUCUAAAUGUAAAUUAAAAUACUAAAUUAGUAAUAGUUGAGUUCUAUAAAAUUAAAAAUUUUGGCGGUAUUCUAGUCUAUUCAGAGGAACCUGUUCUGUAAAUGAUAAUCCACGAUUUAAUUUACUUUUAUUAUUAGCUUGUAUAUCGUCGUAGUUGAAUAUUUCUUAAGAAUAAAAAUAUUUGAAAUUUUAGAUAAAAAAGUAAAUCAGAUCAAGGUGCAGCUUAUAUAAAAGAAGAAAUGGGUUACAAUAAGUUUAAUUAGGGAAUAUUAUUAUUAUAAUAAUAAGAAUUUGGAUUUGAAAGUAAAUUUAAUUAAUUAAUUAAAUUGACUAAGCUCUAGAAUAUGUACACAUCGCCCGUC
rnacentral:rRNA from 1 species